rnacentral:rRNA from 1 species
UAGGGAAUAUUGGACAAUGGGUGCGAGCCUGAUCCAGCCAUGCCGCGUGCAGGAAGACGGCCUUCUGGGUUGUAAACUGCUUUUGCCAGGGGAUAAAACGGCUCUGCGGAGCUAAUUGAAGGUACCUGGUGAAUAAGCCACGGCUAACUACGUGCCAGCAGCCGCGGUAAUACGUAGGUGGCAAGCGUUGUCCGGAUUUAUUGGGUUUAAAGGGUGCGUAGGUGGUUCCAUAAGUCAGUGGUGAAAUACGGCAGCUUAACUGUCGAGGUGCCAUUGAUACUGCGGAACUUGAGUACAGACGAGGUAGGCGGAAUUGACGGUGUAGCGGUGAAAUGCUUAGAUAUCGUCAAGAACACCGAUAGCGAAGGCAGCUUACUAGACUGUAACUGACACUGAGGCA